GGUCACGAGUGCCAGCGCGAAACCCCGGUUUGCUGGCCGGCAACCCUCCAACCGCGGUGGGGUGCCCCGGGUGACGACCAGGCCGGUCCGGAGCGGAUGCGGCAAGCGCGGAUU
rnacentral:ncRNA from 3 species